rnacentral:rRNA from 1 species
AAGGACGAAGAGAUUAAGCAUAGAUGGCGGGAGUACUUCGACAAGCUGUUCAAUGGGGAGAAUGAGAGUUCUACCAUUGAACUGAAUGACUCCUUUGAUGAGACCAGCAUGCGUUUUGUGCGGCGCAUCCAGGAGUCUGAGGUGAAGGAGGCUUUAAAAAGGAUGAAAGGAGGCAAGGCGAUGGGCCCUGAUUGUAUCCCCAUUGAGGUGUGGAAAGGUCUCGGGGACAUAGCGAUAGUAUGGCUAACCAAGCUUUUCAACCUCAUUUUUCGGGCAAACAAGAUGCCAGAAGAAUGGAGACAGAGUAUAUUAGUACCAAUCUUCAAGAACAAGGGGGAUGUUCAGAGUUGUACUAAUUACCGUGGAAUUAAGCUGAUGAGCCAUACAAUGAAGCUAUGGGAGAGAGUCAUUGAGCACCGCUUAAGAAGAAUGACAAGCGUGACCAAAAAUCAGUUUGGUUUCAUGCCUGGGAGGUCGACCAUGGAAGCCAUUUUCUUGGUACGACAACUUAUGGAGAGAUAUAGGGAGCAUAAGAAGGACUUGCAUAUGGUGUUCAUUGACUUGGAGAAGGCCUAUGAUAAGAUACCGCGGAAUGUCAUGUGGUGGGCCUUGGAGAAACACAAAGUCCCAGCAAAGUACAUUAUCCUCAUCAAGGACAUGUACAAUAAUGUUGUGACAAGUGUUCGAACAAGUCAUGCCGACACCGAUGACUUCCCGAUUAAGAUAGGACUGCAUCAGGGGUCAGCUUUGAGCCCUUAUCUUUUUGCAUUGGUGAUGGAUGAGGUCACAAGGGGUAUACAAGGAGAUAUCCCAUGGUGUAUGCUCUUUGCGGAUGAUGUGGUGCUAGUUGACGAUAGUCGGACGGGGGUAAAUAGGAAGUUAGAGUUA